CUCUUCUUGGUGUAGUUGGUUUAUCACGUCGGGCUGUAAUAGAAUUCAUGCCACCUGAAGGUCCCUGGUUCGAUUCCGGGAGAAGAGA